GUGAUUGUACGGGGUGAUCGUUGGAAAUCACUCCCUAUAUAUUUGUUUGGUUGAUUUCUGGUAUAAAUACAGCAUGCUUGGGUAAUAUUCCAUAGAAAAUUUUGACUAUAUUACUUGGUUGAUUUCAUUUUGACUAUAUUACUUUAAGCUCUUUCUUAAGUUUCCUUUGUGAUUUUGAGUCCUAAACUUUAGCUUUUCUACUGAUUUGAGUGAAGUAUUGCACAAGUUUCCCAUAUUAGUCUAUUGUUAUCUUGGAACUUUAGAAUCACAGUAUGCUUGAUAUAUUGUUACUUGAGUAUGAAGCAGUGAAGUUUGGA
rnacentral:misc_RNA from 1 species